AAAAUAUAACUGUAUUUAAAUAUAAACUAUUCUGAAGUCUGUGGUUUGUGAAAUAGCACGUGAAACUAUUUGUACUGUUUAAGUCUCUUACUGAUGGGAAGCAUUAAUUAUGCCCAGUCUGUGGGUGCCCACUGUGUGCCAGCUAACUCAGGAGUCAUGGGCUGCAGAGUAGAGGGCACGUGGGCUUCUGUAGUAGUUAUUCUGGCUUCUUACAAAUCAGGUUUUCAGGCAUUCUUCUGGAACUUUGAAAUAAGUAAAAGAGUAACAGAUAGAGUCACUGAAUAUUUAUGAGGAGUCAGAAAACCAGAAGAAAGGGGGACUGAGGAUAGAGGGAGAAAGUCAGAGGGCUGGGGAGGCAGGAAAGGGAGCAGCUGAAUGUAUACUAAGUACUUCUUGUGGGCCAGGCAUGCUUUAUUCCCAUGUGUGAUCCUCACAGCAGCCUCAUGGGAGGCUAGAUUGUUGUAUAGAUGCAGAACUUGAGCAUUGGAAAGCUGAGCUCUUAAGCAAAGGGUCUAACUCUGUGUCAUACGCUGCCAUUACUGGGCGGGAGAUGCAGAAGCAGCUCUCGGCUGCACGUGCAGCAUUGUGGGAACACCUCAGCAUGCACAAGCCUUUGGGCUCAACCUCCAGAAUAAAGUGAAUGACUAGAUGAAUCCUGGCAAAGCAAAAGAACAGCUCUGCUCUGGAGCUGCAGGACACACGAUCUAGAAGAAGCCCUUGCUGCCCCCUUUCGGGGCGCAUUCCACCACUGAGCUAGGUCUCUUAACUCCCCGUGUGGGAAGGGCCCUUUAUAGGAAUACUGCAGGAGGCUCACUGUUAAAGACUGCUCUGCUCUAGUUGGUCACAGCCACCCAGUGUUAAUGGUGAUGAGCAAUUGGGGGAAGUUUUCUUUUGAAAAAUGCUCCAAAGAGCUGCUUAGCAAUCCUUGUUCAAGGUAUGCUUUGUGUCAGUAUGUUAAUAGAGCUUUCGGUUUUUCUACCCCUUGCUUCCUCUUAAGAUCAUUUUAGGCUUUGUUAGCAUAGUGUGGGCUCUGUUUUCUUACUUCCUAUUUGUUUUGCUCCAGUUCUAUUUAGAAACAAACAACAUAUAUUAUGAAAUCUCUCUUCUUAAGACCUCCUCUUGAGUUGCCUUUUUUAAGUUGAGAAAUUAUUUAUUAUUUUCACUUAGAAUCUUAUUAGGGUUAAAAAAAAAAAAAAGCCCAGAGCAAAACC
rnacentral:lncRNA from 1 species